AAAAAUAGCGACGCUCCAUGCACAAACACAAAAAAAGUGACAUGACAAGUAUCUGAAAGUGACAGAUAAUGUAUGAAGAUUUCAAUUUUUGUUUUUAUCAGUGUAAGUCAAUGUAUGACACACUGUCCGAGUGUGGUAUCAGUAAUCUA